UCUCUGCUGCAUCACCUGCAAAUGUGUUAUCGCCCACCACCACAGCAUCAUCAGUGCCAUCGCCCACCACCACAGCAUCAUCAGUGCCAUCGCCCACCACCUCUGACAUGGCUGCAAUAUCUUUCUCCACUGCUGCAUCUGUGUCAUCCCCUCUGUAGCAUCUGCAACACCUGUAAAUUCAGUUGCAACCUUGCCAUCACCCACCUCUGUGCCUUCUCACUUCAGCUUAACAGCAGUUGUGGUAUCAACCACCAACACCACAGCAGUACAGGACAACCUCAACAGCAGUACCUCAGCAACAGGAUUAACAGUUGUUAACCAAUGUUAUUUAGAAAUCUUAUUUGGUCACAUAUGCUGACUGAUAGUGCUUUAAAAUGUUUAUUUUUGACAUCCAUCGUUACAGGUAUCCAAGAGGCUUGGUCAGGAAAAAAUGUCUGUGUUGCUGUCCAGAAUUGGACCAUACAAAAUCUUCUUUGCAGAUAUUAAUAAAACUGAUCCAAAUAAUGAGCUUGAAAGUGAGGUCAUAAAUGCAUAUGUGUCUUCUUGUAAAGAGAUUCAUUGCACAUUCAGAAGUACAAGCAUUCCAAAUUGACACAUUUGAAAUAUCAAAAAUCUGGAAUAGAAAAAGAUCAAAACCAAAGGUUAAUCCCACAAUGUACAAAUAUCUAAUUGGCAUUGUGAAUGACCAUCACCACUGGACAGUUGUGAUUAUUCUGCCGUCGCAAAGGAGGGCUUUGUUCCUUGAUCCCAUGGGAGAAAUUUCUUCCAAUCUAAAAAGGUGUCAGGAUGUAACAAGGGCUUUUUUGCGACAAGGGAUGCCAUGUGUCAAGGUGGUGUUGCCGAACGCUGCCUCACCCAAAGCAAAAAGAUGGCACAUCAUGUGGUGUCUUUGCUUUGAAAUUUGCAGAAUGUGUUCUCAGAGAGGAGCCAAUAGUUUUUCUUAAUACAGCAGAGGGAGUGGAAGAAUUGAGGAAUGCAAUAGCUGUCACUCUUCUACAAAACAGUGAUGACCUGAGCCAGCUGUGCCAUGCCUGUGAAGAAAGUGGAGAUUAUAACUGGAUUGCCUGUGACUCAUGCAACCGUUGGUACCACACAUCAUGCGUCAAGGGGAAAUCAAAUGUGCAUUUUCUGUGUCCUGCCUGUUAAAAUUCUGAUGACAUGAAGAACACAUACCAAGAGGCUUGUGUAAAUGACAUAAGAAAAAGAAAACAAAGAAAUACUUUUUUUUUUUUUUUUGGUUGUUUCUUGUUAAUUUAAUACCCUUGUUUUUUUUUAUGUAAAAUAAACAUAUCUAUUUAUUUAAUAAAUUACAUUGUACAUUGUUCAAACACUGGCUGCUAAUUGUAAAUUAGGAUAUUUAUACAUUUUGUUUCUUCUGAUGUUUAUUUAAUUGGAAUGCUUGGGUAGAAAAGGCCCUCUACAGGGCCAUUGGCUAAAUUUGUUUGUUUGUAUUUCUCUCUCUCUCUCUCUCUCUCUCUCUGUCACUUUCUCUAACUCUUGUGCCAUGCUCACUCUACUUCCUUUACAACCCUAUUCUCUCUCUCUCUCUCUCUCUCUCUCUCUCUCUUCAAUAUAUUUAUCUGUGAAAUUUGUUUAUUUAUUUGUAUAUUGUUAAUAUUUAUGUUAUUUCCUUCAAACACUGAAUGCUAUUGUUAAUAAAAUAAUUCUAUGUAUUGAUAAGUAUUCUGUUUCUCCUGAAAGUGGGAUAAUGUUAAAUGUUUGGGCAUAAAAUAAGUGUUAAGUCAUCCAGUGU